rnacentral:tRNA from 1 species
GGAGAGAUGCGAGAGCGGUUGAAUCGGACGGUCUCGAAAACCGUUGUGCCCGUAAGAGCACCGAGGGUUCGAAUCCCUCUCUCUCCG